rnacentral:rRNA from 1 species
GAUGAACGCUGGCGGCGUGCCUAAUACAUGCAAGUCGAGCGAACGGACGAGAAGCUUGCUUCUCUGAUGUUAGCGGCGGACGGGUGAGUAACACGUGGAUAACCUACCUAUAAGACUGGGAUAACUUCGGGAAACCGGAGCUAAUACCGGAUGAUAUUUUGAACCGCAUGGUUCAAAAGUGAAAGACGGUCUUGCUGUCACUUAUAGAUGGAUCCGCGCUGCAUUAGCGAGUUGGUAAGGUAACGGCUUACCAAGGCAACGAUGCAUAGCCGACCUGAGAGGGGGGUGGGACAGACUGGGACUGAGACACGGCCCAGACGCCGACGGGAGGCAGCAGUAGGGAAUCUUCGGCGAUGGUGGCAACUCUGACCGAGCGACGCAGCGUGAGUGAAGAAGGUUGUAGGAUCGUAAAGCUCUGUUGUAAGUCAAGAACGGGUGUGAGAGUGGAAAGUUCACACUGUGACGGGAGCUUACCAGAAAGGGACGGCGCACUACGUG